ensembl:lncRNA
UGCAUAUUCACAUAUCAUGUCAUGCUCUAUAACGGUAAAAGUGUAGAAAUGUUCAUGGACUUCUUUUUUUUUUACACAGUGUAUUAUUUGUGUUGUUUAAUCCUUUCGAAAUGUCAUUCUAUGGGCUAAAUUAGAUCGUGUCCGUUUGGGCGUCCCCUACAGCGCGGUCUCAGUGGUCUAAUCCAAAGCGCUCUAACGGUCAAGUGGGAGUAAAACCGGGUGCGUCCCAAACCGCAUCCUAUUCAACUCAAUAGUGUGUUUACUCCAGUACACGUAGGAUAUAUGUAGUUUCAGGAAUACCGUUUUCGGUUUGGGACGCGGCCGCAAUCUCAACCCUAACGUAGGCUCGUAAAACUAGGUAGGAGAUUAAUUCGUCGUUCAAACGAAUACGUUAACAAGUGACCGUUAUUAUUAUUAUUAUUAUUAUUAUUAUUAUUAUUAUUAUUGUGGUUUAAUUCAAACGACGCGCACGCAACGUAACUAGUGUGCGAGUGCCGCUGCGGUUCGCACCUCCGUCGUGUCGUGCACGCGCGCACCCAGGGAGACUGUUUAACGAGUAGAGGAAAUUAGUAACCAUGGAGACGCAGAGAGAGAGAGAGAGAGAGAGUGAGAGAGAGAUAAGGAAACGAGAACAGCAAGGCUAUGACACUUUCACCGUUUAAACGCUAACCGGAACUGCCGGUCACUAUAAACAAACCUAUGGACAGGUUGCCAGGUUCCUACUUUCAGUACCGAGUUAAAGAAACCGCCUUCUGGAUGUUAUUGAUGCCAUUGAGCGACUCUUUCGAGCAAAAGGACCGAAGAUGACCGACAGGGCAGGAGAUAGUGCUGCGGGAGAGGACUCCGGGAUUAUCCGCCGCCGGAGGAUGCAGAAGGAUCUGCCAUUGCCACGGAAGAGCAGCGGGUAACGUACCACCACCAUACCCUGUCGCCACACUAUCCACUUAAGCUUAGUUUAUAUGUCUGUUCAGGAGCUUUUCUGCCUGCACGCGCUUGGAAAUGAAUAAAGUUAGUUAGCUAGUCUGAAGGGUUCUUUUGGUUUGUCCCUCUCAGAGAACCCAUAAAAGAAGGGGUUCUUUUCAUUCCCCCGUUUCCUGAAGGCUAGAACUCUUAACCGUCCAGAAACAAACCCUUUAAACGGAAAAUCUGACAUGUUUCGAACAGGCCGUAAUGCAGUUUUUUAUGUUUUCGAGCGCACAGACACACACACACACACACACACCUGCCAAAAGCCUCAUUUGCUAAUUUAUCUAGUUUGAGACUAAGCCCAUUUUAGUUCCAGCACAAUAACACACUUCAUUUUCUCACUCCAUUAAAAAUAAUCAGUAAAUUGAAUAAUUUCAUAUGCCUAGGAGUGAAGGAGGCGUGGCCUCUGUGCGUCAGUCUCAGUGAAGGAGGCGUGGCCUCUGUGCGUCAGUCUCGGUGAAGGAGGCGUGGCCUCUGUGCGUCAGUCUCGGUGAAGGAUGCGUGGCCUCUGUGUGUCAGUCUCGGUGAAGGAGGCGUGGCCUCUGUGUGUCAGUCUCAAUGAAGGUGUGGCAUCUGUCUGUCAGUCUCAGUGAAGGACUUCUGAAACUUUUUUUUUUUUUUUUUUAACACUCUACUCCGCAUGCCCAGCAUUAAAUCAUAUGUAUCACAGACGAAAGUUUCAUAUUAAUGAAUGCUUUAAGCUAAGAUCAGGGUUUUGUGAGUCAGAAUUCUGGAGAAAAGCCCCCCACAUGAUCUGCCCAUUAAUAUCCAACCAAUCAGGACAAGGAGUAUCUGUAGUUUCUGUCAAUCAUGUGGCCCGAGAGUGUUUUUGGGGGCGUUGUUUUGGAUAGAACAGCGAGGAAAGAGGCUGUAUUUGUUCAGAUUUUGACUUUCUAUCCACUCGCUUUAGCUCACGUCCAGCCAGAUCACUGACCGCACCUUUUAAUGCGUCUUUCGUCUGGUCGUCGAGUACAUAUUAAUACGCCACACGCUGUCAUCUUGGACGCAGAGCAAUACACAGCACACACCUGACACACCGCACCUGGUGCACACGUGAGCUGACCCCGUUUAGGAAGGACACGGUGAUGAGCUGAUGAGCUAGGAACCGUAAACUGAGCAGCAGUGUGGGGUCUCACUGAGACGCUCUCCAUGGUGCUGAACACCGUCCUAGCUCUGUUUUACACACACGCACACACACACAUGACUCCUCAUGUCUGUCUUUCAUGACUGUGUAUAUCCAUGCUUCUUGGUUGUUUUUGUUCUUUGCUGCACCGGUGACUCCGUGAUGAAUCAAUUUUAUUAACUCAAGCUGAAAUAAACAUUUCCACACACUCAUCUCAUUUCAUGAAUCUCAAUGGAGGUGCUCUGUGCAUGUACGUGUGUGUGUGUUCAUUUUUAGCAGGUGCUGCGUUUUGAUCCAUUACUGCCACUGUUCAGGUACCUGCUAAAAGCAACUCUUCAUGAAAGUGCGCACGACAUACAAGCUGACACGGACGUGCACACACGCGCGCGCACACACACACACACACACGCACAGCUGUCUCUCAGUCGCUUAUCAGUAUGCAGUGAAUAAAGCUGUUGGGAAUGAAGCUGGGAUCGUAAUCGUGUGAGCGUUAAAGCAGUGAAGUGUAAACACAUGAUGGAGGAUUGGACGACUCGGUUAUUAACGCACGUGUCAUAAAGCUUCACGAACGAGCGCGCUUAGUCUUACAGCAUGAUCAGAGUUCAGGUCACAUGACUAGACAUUUACUCAAGCUGUAAAUCUUCCAUCUUUAUGCAGACGCUCAUGUUCAUCUGUCUAAAUACGUAUUUCAUAUUUUGAAGUGAAUACAGUCUAUUUUUCAGAAUAGAAAUGAAUUCAUACCUUGUUUUUGUUACGGUAGAUUCUCUGCUGGGUUUAAAUAGAUCAUAUGUAAAAAGGUCACGAUUUAAAUCUAGAUUAUUAAAGGCAGGUUGUUAAAUCCAGAUUAUUAAAGGCCGGUUGUUAAAUCCAGAUGAUUAAAUCCAGGUUAUUAAAUCUGUAUUGUUAAAUCCAGAUGAUUAAAUCCAGGUUAUUAAAUUUAGAUUAUUAAAUCCAGAUCAUUAAAUCCAGAUGAUUUAAAUCCAGGUUAUUAAAUCUAGAUUAUUAAAACCAGAUUAAUUAAAUCCAGAUUAUGAAUCUAGAUUAUUAAAUCCAGGGUCUUAAUCUAGAUUAUUAAAUCCAGGUUAUUAAAUCCAGGGUCUUAAAUCUAGAUUAUUAAAUGCAGAUUAUUAAAUCUAGAUUAUUAAAUCCAGGUUAUUAAAUGCAGGUUGUUAAAUCUAGAUGAUUAAAUCUAGAUUAUUAAAUCCUGAUGAUUUAAAUCCAGGUUCUUAAAUCCAGAUUAUUAAAUGCAGGUUGUUAAAUCUAGAUUAUUAAAUCCAGGUUCUUAAAUCCAGAUUAUUAAAUGCAGGUUGUUAAAUCUAGAUUAUUAAAUCCAGAUUAUUAAAUGCAGGUUAUUAAAUCCAGAUUAUUAAAUGCAGGUUGUUAAAUCUAGAUGAUUAAAUCCAGAUUAUUUAAAUCCAGGUUAUUAAAUCCAGAUUAUUAAGUAUUUAUUUUCAUUUUACACCAAAGCGCUGUUGAAUUCUGGAUUGUGAUUGGUCAGAAGGUGGCGAUUCAUUUUCUAUCAGCAGCUCUGACAGCUCUGCCGACUGACACGUUAUGGUUUCUAUAGUAACCGCUCAUUCGCAGGCCACGUAAUCUAAGCCUAAUACUAAACAGUUGAAAACCUGCCGUUUUUUAACAAAGAAACGAAGGAAUGAAUGUUUAUAGCUGCUAUAACGUAUGCGAUAACAGGAGCUAAAUUGUUUACAGAACAUUCAAAAUGUACAAUAAAUGGAUCAAAAUAUGACGUCUUUCUUUAUGAAACAGUCUUUCUGAUGCUCGGCGAAUUGCUGCGGCGGAAGAGGAAUGAAACGCGCUGCUUUGGGAAAAUAAUCGACUCUGCUUCAUCACAACCUUCCAUUGUUGAUCGUUUUCCUACAGCAGCACGCCCCGAAGUGUUUUAUUCCCGACUUCUUAUGCUGCCUCGACGUUUCAUUUUCUACUCUUGACCUAUUUUGGCCGUGAGAGAGCGAUGAGAAAGUUGUCUGGGAAAUGAAUAUAUGGGUCAGUGUUCAUCUCAUUUUCCCACAUCAGGGACAUGUUAAUUAUUCAAAUUGAAUUUCAACGAUUUGUCAUCAUCAUCUCUGCGUGUGUGCGUGUGUGUGUGCGUGUGUGUGUGCGCGUGCAGUUUGUUAUAGUAGGUCAAAGAGAUGAUGUCACUUCAUAAGCAAUAUGGCAUGGAAAAACAGGCUGAGGGGGGCAGAGAGGGAG